rnacentral:rRNA from 1 species
AGGCAGCAGUGGGGAAUCUUGCACAAUGGAGGAAACUCUGAUGCAGCGAUGCCGCGUGAGUGAAGAAGGCCUUUGGGUUGUAAAGCUCUUUCGUCGGGGAAGAAAAUGACUGUACCCGAAUAAGAAGGUCCGGCUAACUUCGUGCCAGCAGCCGCGGUAAU